UUAUUAUGUAAAAAAACCUAUAAUAAAUAAAAAACUUAUAAUUAAUAAUUAAUAUUUUCUGAUAAUUUCCUGUUUAUUAUAAUGUACUGAGAUCAUGAUUUUAUUGUAACUUUCGUGAGACAUACUAAAUUAAUUAUUAUGUUAUCGGCUUACUCACGUACUGUUUUGAACUAGUCGAGUUCUAAACAGUACGUGAGCUCACAGGAAAUUAUCAGAAAAUAUUAAUAAUAAGUUUUUUAUUUAUUAUAGGUUUUUUUCAUACAAAACAUCUACGUUUGAGUUUGUUGUGAAAGAGUUGUUUCCCUGUCUUUGUCGCUUCGUCAAUGAAAACAAUUAAUAGUAUUUUUUUUGCACGAAGCGACGUAUCGUGCAUAUUUGUGUAUCAUUGAAUUAACUGGUCUGGGGUACGAAAUUUCUUCACUAUUGUUUUUUUUUAUGUUAAAUUGGCCGACGUUUGGCCGCUAUCUCGCCUGAUGGUAAGUAAUGAUGCGGCCUACGAUGGAGCACGUCUGCCCAUAAGCAACCUAUUCACUCGGGCAUUGAAGACACCCAGGUUAUACCCAUCAGGAAACACAGACUCCGGCAAGGAGUUCCACUCCCUAGCCGUUCGCACUAGGAAGCUUGAAGCGAAGCGCUUCGUGCGUGUGGGUUGGAUAUCUACCAUGAAACGGGACGCCUCGCCGAUUGUCUUGUGGUUCGAUGAUGGAAAGGACUAGGAGGAAUCAAGUUGUGCAAUUCCCCCGCACACUCUCCGAAAUGUAUCCGGUAAAAAACGGAAAGGCUUGCGACCUUGCGCCUGUGUUCAAGGCUUUGAAGUCGGGCCUCCACAAGCGCAUCAUCAUUGAUGAGCUUCUUGGCACGCCUUUCAAUGUGUUCGAGCGCAUCCAGCUGGUAUUUAGCCGAGCCGUCCCAAAGGUGAGAACAGUACUCCAUACAUGACCGAACCUGUAAUCUACAAACACAACGUUAACUCCCGUUAAAGCUGUGGCAGAUAAUUUUAGAACACCUUUCAAUUAAUUUAUAGUAGGAAUAUUAAUUUAUAAGGAUAUGUUAAAAUAUUUUAUUAUAAAUUGUAUGUAUAUGUAUAUUUUAUACGUUAAUAAAUGUCAUAAUAUAAACUGUCUUUAUUUAUGUGCAUGCAUGCAUGUAAUGUACACAAUGUACAGGUAAACUGCACAUUACAUGUUUCAGAGCCAAAAUGGCUCCCAUGAAACAAAACCGCAGAAUAUUCGGAGCUAGGCAAUAUAAAAAUUAUACAGAAGAGAUGUUAAAAUUAGUUAUGGAGAUGGUAAAAUUAAAAAAAUUAAAAAGUCAAAAGAUUACACAUAAUUUUGUAGCCUUUUUUGACAAUAUUAAACAUAAAAACUUAACAUUUUAUAAUUGAAUUUAGUUUAAAAGGGAACAACAUUUAUGUUAAAAAUUUGUGAGUUUUUUUUACUUUAGGUUUAAGGUUCAUUAAAUUUUAUAAAAUAUUUAUUUCAUAAAAAAAUCUUCCUCGUUUUUUGAAAACCUUGAGCGUUACAAAUUAUUUGUAUGAAGAUUACGAAAGAAAAAGAUUUCCGAAAGAAAUAUACAAGGCAAAUGUGAGUGGGACCGUCGUCGGUAGAGGGCGAUAUAUUAAAAAAGGGUCAAAUUAAAAGUACCUUUAACCUACGAGCAUGCAUGAAAAGACUGAUGAAUGUUGAUGAAGCGACAGAAGUGUGUAAGAACCGUGGCAAUUGGCGUUCCAUUGUCUCUGCCUACCCCCAUGGGAGACACACCUUUCUUUUUAUAUGAUUUUAUUUCAAUUUUUUAAUGAACCACGCCAGUAAAAGAGCAGACGGGGAUACUACGUCCAAAAGGCAUCUCCGUCUAAUAUAAGUAGCAUGUAAGUUUUAUCUACAUAGAUAUUUUUUCUACCUAAUAUUACAAUCAUUUAGGAUAUCAAUAAAACUCGCUGUAAGAUUAUAUCACGCAAUCAAUCUUAGAGAUUAUAUUAGUCAGUCUUCAAGGUUGAACUAUGCUUCUACUGAAGGAGACAUGACGAUUAUCUUUUUAUAAGCUUUUAGUUUGAGAAGAAGUGAGACUCUUACUGACUAAAAACCACCCCGUUCCUACUCCUGCUUUUCGAGCCGGAGCCCCGGUAACCCGCUAGGUAGGCCCAGUACCUACGGGUUUGGUUCUACAGGCGGCGAACUACCCUUGCUCGCCAUCCGCAGAAUGGACGUUUCGACUUUUUUUUUAUUUUAAUGUACCGUGAUAUGUGAAUUUUAUAAAACUAAUAGCAAUUCGAUAAAUAAAAAUUAUCCUUGAACGUAUGUACAAUACCACUUAGGUAUUGUAAAUUAAAUCGUAUAUGGUCGAAUGACGACCACUAGGCGACCAAUAGUAUUACUAGAAUUAUUUCUAACAUGUUAAAGUUCCAUUACGAAUAAAUUCACUGUUUCACGUCGUUUUAAUUUAUAAUGAUAAUGCUAGCUCUAUGGGAUAUAAGUAUUUUUCAGCCCUUUAGUUGUUUAAGUCCAAUCGUAUCAAAAAAGUCGCAUCAACGGAAAAAUUGACUUUACAAAUUAGGCACUUUUUAUUGAGUCUGACGUUUCCUGAAGGUAGCGUGCGUAUGACGGCGUCAUCGCUACGUGCUGUGCUUACCUAUACACGGCGGUAUAUAAGUGGCAACUUUUGUUGGACUAUUGGCAUUUCUGUUUCCAUCGUCGUUCAGAUAUUACCUCAAGAAAAUGGCACCUAUCUUAAUAAAUUGUCUUCGUGUUUUCUAUCUCUGUGUGGUAGUAAACACUGUACUUUCGAUGUCUGUGGCUGAAAAUAGUGAAUAUGUGGAUAAAAUAAGUGAUUUGUAUCACAGCGAGAUUGUUAAAGUGAUCAUUAGUGACGUGAUGGCUAGAUCCGCGGCUGCAGACGAUAUUAACGAUCACAAGCGGAUCAAAAGGGCUGUUAUUGGAUCGAUAAAUUGCGCUACGAAAGCUCAGAAGUGGAAUAUUGGUGGGGGUUUAUGCAUCAAUGAAACUGAUGAAACUGAUGAUAAUUAUGUUUGAUGACGAUACUACAAACUGAAGCAAAACUUAUCGAUCAAAAAAACGGACAAAUUGUAAUAUUUUUAUAUAUACAGCUUGUACCAAAUACCAGAUACAUCAAGAAGCACUGAAGAAUACAGUUUGAAUAGAAUUAAUAUUACGAAACAUUUCUUUUGUAAAUCUGACCGCCUAAUACAAUAUCAGUAUCAGUACCUAUGUUUUGAUGUUCGGUUUCUGGAAUUUUAUGUAUUUAAAAAAUUCUUAACUUCGUUCCGUGAAAACAUGAGUUUAAAAAGCCCUUCCCGUAUCGUUUGUUAUGUUUUUUAGAAACCGUGCACUUGAUAAUUAUUAUGUAUACCCCUUUUCUGUUACACCGUUUAUAGUCAUUUUCAAAACGAACACUUACUAAAUAUGACGACCCACUCGCACGAAGUGCUUCGCUUCAAGCUUCUUUGUGCGAACUGCUAGGGAGUGGAACUCCUUGCCGGAGUCUGUGUUUCCUGAUGGGUAUAACCUGGGUGUCUUCAAGGCCCGAGUGAAUAGGUUGCUUAUGGGCAGACGUGCUCCAUCGUAGGCCGCAUCAUCACUUACUAUCAGGUGAGAUAGCGGCCAAACGUCGACCCAAUAAAUGUAAAAAAAAAAUAUGUAUGUUAUAUUAUGCAGGGUUAAUUUUGAAACACAAACAACCUCUUAUCGUACGCAUCACAUGCAUCGUAAGCAACGGAUUUUAGUUUGCCUUGUAUAGAAACUCAUACAACUGCGUAUAAUUACGUAUAAGUAAUUAUUGUAUUAAGUAAAGCUUGUAACAUGUAAGUAUUGUUUUAAUUUAUCUAUUAAAUUAUUAUACAAAUGCAAAACUA